CCUACGGGAGGCAGCAGUGGGGAAUAUUGGACAAUGGGGGCAACCCUGAUCCAGCCAUGCCGCGUGUGUGAAGAAGGCCCUCGGGUUGUAAAGCACUUUCAGUGAGGAAGAACGCCUGGUGGUUAAUACCCAUCAGGAAAGACAUCACUCACAGAAGAAGCACCGGCUAACUCCGUGCCAGCAGCCGCGGUAAUACGGAGGGUGCGAGCGUUAAUCGGAAUUACUGGGCGUAAAGCGCGCGUAGGUGGCUUGAUAAGCCGGUUGUGAAAGCCCCGGGCUCAACCUGGGAACGGCAUCCGGAACUGUCAAGCUAGAGUGCAGGAGAGGAAGGUAGAAUUCCCGGUGUAGCGGUGACAUGCGUAGAGAUCGGGAGGAAUACCAGUGGCGAAGGCGGCCUUCUGGACUGACACUGACACUGAGGUGCGAAAGCGUGGGUAGCAAACAGGAUUAGAUACCCUUGUAGUC
rnacentral:rRNA from 1 species